GGAGAGGUGGCCGAGUGGACUAAGGCGCACGCCUGGAGAGCGUGUAGACGUUGACGCGUCUCCUGGGUUCGAAUCCCAGUCUCUCCGCCA
rnacentral:tRNA from 1 species